rnacentral:rRNA from 1 species
UACGUAGGGUGCAAGCGUUGUCCGGAAUUAUUGGGCGUAAAGAGCUCGUAGGCGGUCUGUCGCGUCGGCUGUGAAAACUCGGGGCUCAACUCCGAGCUUGCAGUCGAUACGGGCAGGCUAGAGUUCGGCAGGGGAGACUGGAAUUCCUGGUGUAGCGGUGGAAUGCGCAGAUAUCAGGAGGAACACCGGUGGCGAAGGCAGGUCUCUGGGCAUUAACUGACGCUGAGGAGCGAAAGCAUGGGGAGCGAACAGG